UUUUUACAUUCUUUUCCUCUGGCUCGCUGUUGCCAUUACUCACACAUGUUCAUUAGGCUGUUUUAUUGGAUUUUAUGGUUAAAUGUUUAUCUCAGCUGAUUUGAAGGUGUUUUUGUGGACAGUUUUUAGAGCAGAGUGUUUAUGUAGUGGGUCUGUCUGGUGAAAAUGCUUUUGACAGUUCAGGUUGUCCUGCAUGAGAACCACAAUGCUCUGUCAGUCCUCACUGCGGAAUCGUGGGGUCGUAAAUAGUACGUGCAGCAGAGGGGUGAAAAUUUAGAUGUGGUGCGCGUUUUUGCCAAAGCGACCAAACAAGACGGCUUACAAAGUUUACUAAAUAGCACAUGGGGGAUACGAUUAUAUACUAGGAUUUAUGCACUGCGUGGUCAAAUACAAAGAUAGAAGCGUUAACGAAGACAUCCGACGAUUUCACUCCUUUUUCUCAGCGCAUGUUUUAAAAGUAGCUCAGAAAGCAGAGUUUGCACUCCCGCUCGCUCGCUCACUCUUACUCUUGACGUUUCGGUCUUGUUGUCCUGUGCCAAAAACUGUGUACAAUGUGUUUUUAGUGUGUGUAUGCUGGGAUAAAUCACAUCCUAAGCUUAGAGUUGGUUUCUGAUUUAGAUGUACAGUUGAGGGUAUUUGUUUUUAAGAUUUUCUGGUGCGCGGAGACUGAUAUUGUCAUUAUUGUUUUUCUAAAGUGCACAAGCCAUCAAUAUAGGCUAUUUAAAAAAGGGUCAGAGAAUUUUGAACUGUUACACUUUAUCGUGUUUCAACAAGAUCAGUCAGCGUUUGGCAGUAGAGAUGCAAUAGAAAAGUUUGUAUCGUUCGGUUGCUGUCACUUUGUAACAACACGAGCGUAACAGACCUGCACAAGUUUUCUCUCCAGUCAUGUGUUUUUUCUCAGUGUAUAUAUGUGUGAUUGUUGCCAACGUGUUGGGUGUUUCAUAUUAAAAUAAGUUGUUCUCGUCAGAAAUACUCCAUAAUAGAAAGAUGUAGAGAUCCAUGUGGAUAAUCGGACAGAUUUGAAAAGAAGAAAUCGACUAUAUUUAAAGAGGCUAUAAAGUGCUGUUUGGCAUUGAGCAAGUGGCUCAUAAAUCUCUCCGCUGUUUGCGUGUUUUGGGUCCUGAAGUGUUGUGGAUCCUGGAGUGAUCCUAUUCCUGGAGUGAGCACAUUUAUUGGCGUUCAGUUACAUAGGGUAAAAGUGUGAAAUACGAUUUAAUACUUAAGAUGGAAACUGAGAGUAAGAAUGCGAGAUGUAUAAGAGCUCAAGAGUGAGCGCGCGUGAUAUGCCAUAUGAUACUUUUCUGUAUUCGUGAGAAGCUGACGUUCUGUUUAUACGUUGUUAGUGAUUUAAGACAGCUAAAUGCCGGCGAAACUGCCAGAUAUGACUUGAUAUGCGAGUUGCAGGUGUUGUCGUUGUGUUUAGUGCCGCUGAACUUCAGAACGGUCACUGGGUGACAUCUCGUGGACGCAAAACUUCAGGAUUUCUUAAAGGAAAAGGAAAAGUAUUUCAAAACAUGCAAUACUGGCUACAAAAGUUCUUCUGUGGUUGGAAUCCCUAUCCCUUUCCCGGUCAUCUGGGUGAUUUGCCUCCUCACACAAGAGCAUUACAAGAGUCAUGGGCUGAUUAAGCUGCUUUGGCAUCAUGACAGCGCGCGGUCGGGGAUAUUGAUAUUAGGCUAUGUAGGCUCAAAUGGAAACAGAAUCUCUAAUACUGAAUGUUCAACAUGUGAGAAAUGUUCGCCUAACUAUUUAAAGGCGUCCAGUGAAACUAUAUAUUUGUGUCAAGGCGCCAUAUGUGACUGGGAGAGCCGUCUGAGGUGAUUCGUUCAAUAUCUGAACGUAAGACAGCAGAAAAUGUGUUGUCAGAAAAUGAAUCUAUUAAAAAAUAAACUCUUCUACAGUAUUAACCCAAUUCUUGGGUUGUGUUUGUUGUCCAUUCUACUUUGUCUGUUAUUACACUCAUUCCUCAGUAGUGUAUCGGUCCACAGUACUGCACUAAACAGCCUAAUGACAUUUUCCCAUGACUCAUUCGAGUUUAUUCUCCAAACAUAAAAGACUUUAAAAUCGCAGGGAAAGAAGCAAUUUUCUUCAGAAGGCAAAAGCUGUGUAAAUGCACAUUUCGGUGAACUUGGGACAUAAUAAGAUAAAUGUGCAUUUUUCGUGAAUAACCUGAGUUAUUUUAGCUGUUAAAACUUGAUUAAAGUUUCUAUAAAUGUGUUCAGAUAAAAGAUAAUAAUUUUAGGUAGGAUGAAAAAUGAUUCUCAGACCUGACAGAACUACUGCACGUGGAUGGACGUCAGUUCUCUAACUAAAUAUUUUCAUCAUUUGUCGCCACCUACCGGAGAGAGAGAUCUAUGCAUGUAAUUGAUUUUCAGAUUAAAGGGAUAGUUCACUUAAAAAUUAUAAGUCUGUCAUCAUUUACUCACCCUCCUGUUGUCCCAAACCCUAAUGACUUACUUUCUUCAGUGGAACACAAAAGGAGCUGUCAUUCUCCAUAACGUCUCCUUUUGUGUUCCUUUGUCGGAGAAAAAGCAGAGGAGGUACACAUUGACAAAUUUUUGAUGCAUAACUUGAUUAAAGCUUUAUUUUUAACAGACGUUUUGACAUAACUCCCUAAAAAAAGCAAAGAACAACAGCAUUGCCUUUGUUUCUGAAGUUUUCAACAGCUAAUAUAAGCUUUAAAGAUUCCUGUGAUGUUAGAAUAAUACCCAACUUUUCUGAUUUUAGCACGUUGUUCAAUGAGCACCGAUUACAUCAUUCAUGGUUCACUGUUUCUC